UUUCAAUUGCAUUAACCCAUUUUUUCCAGAUUGGUAUUAAAAAAAAAACUAUAAAUAACAUUUAAUGGGCUUCCAUACAAUAAAGGAUAUAAAAUAAAGAGGAAAAAUAUAAAAUAAAGAUUUAAAUAUUAUUAUUUUGUACAUAAAAUCAAGAUUUUGUUAUCGAUACGUAUAGUAUAGAAAUAUAAUUUAUUUCUCACGACAUUUUGAUAGUAGCGAAAAAUAUAAUAAUAAAUUAAAUAAAAAUAUAACUAGAUUCGCCUUAUUCUCUCAUAAAUAAUAUCUAUUUUCGAUCUUUUUCGCAAAAAAAAAUAAUAAUUGCCAUCAAUGUUAUGUUUUUGACUAAAUAAUAUUAGAUUCGAGAGUUUGUAAAAUGCAUAUAUGCAUCUAAUAUUCGAUAUGAAACACAUAAAGAGAAUUACAUACCAGAACCAGGAAAAUGUAGUGCAUUUGAUAUAUAUCGGAUCACGUGUGUUUAUACUUUGCGUGUAUGUACUGCUUUGCAAUGAAUAUGAAAUAAUAAUUUUGAGGUCACUUGAUUGCUUUAAUAGCACGGUCUCCAAGUAUUACAAAGUUUUACUUUACACAAACGUUUCCAUGGCAACAUCUGUUACAUCUCUUUCCAUGUGAACUCGCUGAUUCAAAUAUUCGAAAAUUUAAUUUCCAUUUUUUUUUUUUUUAAUUUAAAACCAAAUAAUUGAUUUUUUUCUAUCAGUUAUAACAUUUACUGAAACCUGCAAGUCCAAAAAAAUUAAAAAUAAAAAAAAUUUUAUAAAAAAAUAAAAUUUAAAUUAAUUUCAAUUUAAUUGCAAUAAAAAAUACAAAUGUAACAUAUGUGUGAAGCCAUUUGUGAAAUGAAAAUCGAGAAGAAAUAAAAUAAUCCGCGCGCCACCGAAACAAGUGAAAAUUGAAAUUUAAUAUUAAAAUCUUUUCAUGUGGGAAAAAAAAUUUGCGGGCUUUGAAUAAAAAGAAGGCAAAUGAAAAUUGAAAUUUACCUUGGAGGAUAUACUCUCCAGGUAAAUUCUCAACUUUAGUCGUCUCUCUUCUUAAUACUUUUGGCUAAAACAACUUUUCUCACAAAGUUUUGUGAUUUUCAUGCUUUUUUUUUGUAUUCCCAAAGUAAUGCGCAGAACAAUUUAAACUUUCUAAAGGACGAAACUUCCGGUAUCCACUCUUCAUUAGACAUGAUAAAAAGUGUUUUUUACUGUCUUCUCAUAAUAUAUUUUUUCCUCAAUAAUGUUUUGAAUACAAUUUAAACAAACAUUUAAAUUUAAAAAAAUUACCUAAUUAAUUUUCAAAUUUCACAAGAAUUUUAUUUUAAAUCAAAGCUCUGUCAUCAAUCACCACAGAAAUUAAUUCAAUUAAACGACCACUUGUCACAUUAUUAUUAACCAAAAUAAUUAUUUCACUCAAUAUUGGAAAAUUCUAAUUAAUUUCAGUUUUGAAUUAUAAUCGACUGUAAUAAAAAAAAUCUGCGAAUUAAUAAAAAAUUGAUAUCACGAAAGCCUUUAGCGCGCGAGUUGACAUAAUAACAUUUUUUUCCACUUUUCUUUUUCUCGACUUAUUUCCACAAGAGUCACGAGAUUAGUUUUAACAAAAAAAAUUACAUAUAGUUAUAGUAAGUAUAUUAUAUUAAGUGCGGUGAUAUGUCUCAAAAAAAAAAAAAUAAAUAAAUAAAAUUAGACUUUGUCAAAUAUUAGAUAGUUUAUGUACGAUUGUAGAAAUUUUGACAAUGCAAAAAAAAAGAUCUUUGACUCAAUAAUAUAUUGAUAUAGUCGAUCAAAUGAAAAACACACUUUAGUCAAUUCUUUAAUGUUAGGCAGUUGAUAUUAAUAAAAAUAAAAAAAAAUCUUCGUCAUACAAGUCGCGAAAAAAUUUAGAAUUAAAGAACUUAAGAUAUCAAAACGGUUUUCGUAGAGACAAAAAAAAUAUCCUUAAAAAAAAUAAUAAUAGUAUUUAGAUUUGUAAUUCGUUUUUCCAUUUCAUUUCUCCUCGUCAACUCAAUGAAUUUGACGAUUCCAUUUAUGUUCCAACGAAAAUUAUUAUCGAUUUAUCCCGCCACCCCACAAAAAAUUCGAUUUCGCGCCGAAAUUUGUACUGUAUAACCAAUUUCCUGUCCUAAGUUCAAUAUUGAACAAAGAUUUUUCAAUUUUCAACGAAAAGCAAAAUUUUCUGUAAUUAAUUUCAUAUUACGUUUAUAAAAUAUACAUUUUAUUAUUAUAUAUAAAAAUAUAUUUUAUUUUUUAGUUAAUAUAUAAAUAAUAUAUGUAUAUGUUAAUUUGUAUAUUUAUUGUUAAACGUUAAAAGUGUAAAAAAGAAAAUUUAUCAAUUUAGGGAAAUAUCUCGAAAAAAAAACUUCCUCGAAUGGUUGUUAUUAGUCGAUUAUAUUUAAUUUAAAUAUACUGCCGACUUUGUGAAUGUAUCAUUUUUUGAGUUUAGAAUACAAAAAAUUUGGAAACAUCAAAUCAGUGACUGAUUAUUUUCUGUCUGAUAUAAAAAAUGACACCAUUUUUUAAAAAUAAAUCUUCAUUAUCGAUAAUUAAUCGUUUUAUUAAUUAAUAAUUGAUAGUUUGUAGUAUUUACAAUUAUUUAUAAAUUUAAAUUACUUUAUUGAAAAAAUUCUUGUCACUGAUUUUGCUGUAUGAAUAUCAAUAAGUUUGUUAUUUAUUUAAACGAAAAAGGGGGAAAAAAUGAAAUUAUCUUAGUCGGUACGUCGCUAUUUAAAUAAAAAAAAAAUCAACGUCAUAGACGUAUUUGUGUAAUAUCACUGCUCGCCAUAUGCUCAAAGUAACACCAUUUGAACGUAAGUUGUGUAUUUAGAUACGACAUGACACUCGAGCUUUUUGUGAACGUUUCCUUCCGUAAAUCGUAUAUAUAAAUAAAUAUAUAUAUAAUAGGUAUAAUCACAAUUUUCAGGUUGAAUUAAAAAAUCAUAAAAAAAAUUUUAUUACGAUUGCUCCUGUUAAAUAAUUAAUGAGAAUGUUAAACAAACAAACAAAAAAAGUCGUUAAUCGUCUUAAAGAGUUUUUUUCUUUAUAAAAAAAAAGAAACUCGCGUCGAUUAUUUGGAAUAAUGAGUGAUCUAAUAUUAUUGUAUUGUUGGCAGUUUUCCACGAAACUAGUGGCGAUAUCAAUAAACUUUAACGACAUCCGAUUUUGAAUCAUGUA